UACGGAGGGUGCAAGCGUUAAUCGGAAUUACUGGGCGUAAAGCGUGCGCAGGCGGUUUGUUAAGUCUGCUGUGAAAUCCCCGAGCUCAACUUGGGAAUUGCAGUGGAUACUGGCAAGCUAGAGUAUGGUAGAGGAAGGUGGAAUUCCCGGUGUAGCAGUGAAAUGCGUAGAUAUCGGGAGGAACACCAGUGGCGAAGGCGGCCUUCUGGACCAAUACUGACGCUCAUGCACGAAAGCGUGGGGAGCAAACAGG
rnacentral:rRNA from 1 species